AUCUCUUCCAUAUGGUAAAUCGCUCCGAGAACAUGACUUAUCUUAUGACGUCACAAACCUGUUUCAAAAAAAAAGAACAAAUCAGAAUAUUCGUCACAUCCAGAAAGUUUCCGUGGAAUAAAUAGUACCAAAGAAUAUUGGAAGGAAAGAUUUAGUAGAGAUGAACAAACGUAUUUUCUUCUCGCAAGAAAAGUUUACGGUCAAUACAACAGCAUGUCUAACUGAAAAGCGAACACUUGAGCAGGAAAAAGAAACAGAGCGAAAAGUGCUUGUGUUCUAGAAAUAGAAAUAUUCAAAAGCACCAGAAGUCACAGAAGGCUGGUCUUACCUAACGGAAGUUGGAGAAUCAUUGUAUUCGGGCUCCGAAAUCUGAGACGCCCAGAAAGUUGUUUUGAUAUUGGAACUACUGACUUCGACAAUGACAAAAGCAGAUAUUUUAAAGACAGCAAGAUUACUACAUAAACUCUAUGUGAUAAGGCGCAUUGUACAAUUUACAGAGUAUGGUUGCCGUACUACUUUUGUUAAUGAUUACGUUAUCCCCAGUACUCAGUACUAGUAGGACAGUGGUUAGCUUACAAGUUCAUUGCAUACUGGGAGCGACCGCACUUGGAUAAAAGCCAAGGUAAGUAAUUAUCAUGUAUUAUUAAACCAUUCGCCGGGAGUAUAACAUCUUAGUCGUGAUAAAAUAUGAUAAUACAUGGUUCAGCUAUAUAUUGUUUCUAAAGUAUUAUCUGAUUUUAUUCAAAUAUUCCUCUAAAGCA
rnacentral:lncRNA from 1 species